UACGAAGGGGGCUAGCGUUGUUCGGAUUUACUGGGCGUAAAGCGCACGUAGGCGGAUUGCUAAGUCAGGGGUGAAAUCCUGGAGCUCAACUCCAGAACUGCCUUUGAUACUGAGGAUCUCGAGUUCGGGAGAGGUGAGUGGAACUGCGAGUGUAGAGGUGAAAUUCGUAGAUAUUCGCAAGAACACCAGUGGCGAAGGCGGCUCACUGGCCCGAUACUGACGCUGAGGCACGAAAGCGUGGGGAGCAACAGG
rnacentral:rRNA from 1 species